GGGCCCGUAGCUCAGCCAGGUAGAGCGGCGGGCUCUUAACCCGUAGAACUGAGGGUGCGGAAGUCCCGGGUUCAAAUCCCGGCGGGCCCGCCA
rnacentral:tRNA from 1 species